CAGAAAGCCAGGUCAGUCAUGCAUGAUUCAGGACAUCUUAUGACAGUAAAAGGACCCAAACACAGGAAAUUCAGACCUAGGAUUCAGCAAGAUACAGCUACAGCUUUUCCAAAGCGAGAAAUCUGACCCAAACUCAUCUCAUGGCCCAAAACUGAAGUCCCUGACUGAUUAUUGCUACCACAGCUAAGAAGUUAGACUAGUGCAACAAGCUCACCCACAGUGGCUCAAUGCUUCCUGUAUCCUGGCUAUUACCAUGUGUUCUGCUCUGCCAAAACCUGGACUGCAGGGAGCUACCUGGCAUUUUCCUGUGGAAGGCACUGACAUGGAAGCCAUGAAAUAGGAACCACAUCUGUGCCUCCCUGCCUCUACAUCACAGGAUAUAGAACAUCAUGAGAACCCCUACAUGGGACUUCUGGAAAUCCACUGAAGUUUUAAGGAAAGAGAAAUAAAGAGAGAGAGAGAGAUGAUCUUUUUACAGUACUAA